rnacentral:lncRNA from 1 species
AGAAGCCAACGGUAAAAAUGACUUUUCAUAUUAGUCUCACGCCAACAUAGAGCACCAAAUCAAUUCAAGGACGAGUUUGAUCGAAAAACAAAAGUUCAUGGACUAGAACGGCCGAUGUAAAAGCUGAGGAACCAACUUGACGCCCGGGGUAAAGUUGAGGGACCAAAUCACCCAUUUUACCUUAACAAUUGAGGUACGCGUAAUGUAAGGCACAUAACUUUGACUACAUUUUUUACUGUUUCC